CCUACGGGAGGCAGCAGUAGGGAAUCUUCCACAAUGGGCGAAAGCCUGAUGGAGCAACGCCGCGUGGGUGAAGAAGGUCUUCGGAUCGUAAAACCCUGUUGUUAGAGAAGAAAGUGCGUGAGAGUAACUGUUCACGUUUCGACGGUAUCUAACCAGAAAGCCACGGCUAACUACGUGCCAGCAGCCGCGGUAAUACGUAGGUGGCAAGCUUUAUCCGGAUUUAUUGGGCGUAAAGGGCACGCAGGCGGUCUUUUAAGUCUGAUGUGAAAGCCUUCGGCUUAACCGGAUUAGUGCAUUGGAAACUGGGAGACUGGAGUGCAGAAGAGGAGAGUGGAACUCCAUGUGUAGCGGUGAAAUGCGUAGAUAUAAGGAAGAACACCAGUGGCGAAAGCGGCUCUCUGGUCUGUAACUGACGCUGAGGUUCGAAAGCGUGGGUAGCAAACAGGAUUAGAUACCCGUGUAGUC
rnacentral:rRNA from 1 species